GUGGGGAAUAUUGGGCAAUGGGCGAAAGCCUGACCCAGCAACGCCGCGUGAAGGAAGAAGGUUUUCGGAUCGUAAACUUCUAUCCUUGGUGAAGAUAAUGACGGUAGCCAAGAAGGAAGCCCCGGCUAACUACGUGCCAGCAGCCGCGGUAAUACGUAGGGGGCAAGCGUUGUCCGGAAUGAUUGGGCGUAAAGGGCGCGUAGGCGGCCCGGUAAGUCUGAAGUGAAAGUCCUGCUUUUAAGGUGGGAAUUGCUUUGGAUACUGUCGGGCUUGAGUGCAGGAGAGGUAAGCGGAAUUCCCGGUGUAGCGGUGAAAGGCGUAGAGAUCGGGAGGAACACCAGUGGCGAAGGCGGCUUACUGGACUGUAACUGACGCUGAGGCGCGAAAGUGUGGGGAGCAAACAGGAUUAGAAACCCUGGUAGUCC
rnacentral:rRNA from 1 species